rnacentral:rRNA from 1 species
CCUACGGGAGACAGCAGUGGGGAAUAUUGCGCAAUGGGCGAAAGCCUGACGCAGCGACGCCGCGUGCGGGAUGAAGGUCUUCGGAUCGUAAACCUCUGUCAGCAGGGAAGAACGGUCACUGUGCUAAUCAGCAGUGAAUUGACGGUACCUGCAACGGAAGCACCGGCUCACUCCGUGCCAGCAGCCGAGAUAAUACGGAGGGUGCGAGCGUUAAUCGGAAUUUCUGGGCGUAAAGCGCGCGUAGGCGUGAUGUCAAGUCAAGGGUGAAAUCCCCGCGCUCAACGUGGGAACUGCCUUUGAACUGGCAAACUGGAGUGUGUGAGAGGAUAGUGGAAUUCCAGAUGUAGGAGUGAAAUCCGUAGAUAUCUGGAGGAACAGCAGUGGCGAAGGCGACUAUCUGGCACAUAACUGACGCUGAGGAGCGAAAGCGUGGGUAGCAAACAGGAUUAGAUACCCCAGUAGUC